rnacentral:rRNA from 1 species
GUGGGGAAUAUUGGACAAUGGGGGGAACCCUGAUCCAGCCAUGCCGCGUGUGUGAAGAAGGCCUUUUGGUUGUAAAGCACUUUAAGCGAGGAGGAGGCUACCGAGAUUAAUACUCUUGGAUAGUGGACGUUACUCGCAGAAUAAGCACCGGCUAACACUGUGCCCGCAGCCGCGGCAAUACAGAGGGUGCAAGCGUUAAUCGGAUUUACUGGGCGUAAAGCGCGCGUAGGUGGCCAAUUAAGUCAAAUGUGAAAUCCCAGAGCGUAACGUGGGAAUUGCAUUCGAUACUGGUUGGCUAGAGUAUUGGAGAGGAUGGUAGAAUUCCAGGUGUAGCGGUGAAAUGCGUAGAGAGCUGGAGGAAUACCGAUGGCGAAGGCAGCCAUCUGGCCUAAUACUGACACUGAGGUGCGAAAGCAUGGGGAGCAAACAGGAUUAGAAACCCCAGUAGUCC